GCUGCCUUUGGCAGCAUAUAUGCUGAAAAAGUGGAACAAUACAGAGAAGAUUAACAUGGCCCCUGCAUGACAUGCGAAUUUGUGAAGUGUUCCAUAUUUUU
rnacentral:snRNA from 1 species